rnacentral:tRNA from 1 species
GCGAGGAUGGCGGAAUGGCAGACGCGCUGGACUUAGGAUCCAGUGGGAUUUCCCGUGGGGGUUCAACUCCCCCUCCUCGCA